rnacentral:rRNA from 1 species
UACGGGGGGGCAAGCGUUGUUCGGAAUUACUGGCGUAAAGGGCUCGUAGGCGGCCAACUAAGUCAGACGUGAAAUCCCUCGGCUUAACCGGGGAACUGCGUCUGAUACUGGAUGGCUAGAGGUUGGGAGAGGGAUGCGGAAUUCCAGGUGUAGCGGUGAAAUGCGUAGAUAUCUGGAGGAACACCGGUGGCGAAGGCGGCAUCCUGGACCAAUUCUGACGCUGAGGAGCGAAAGCCAGGGAGCAAACGGG